CUAGAAUUGCCCUUUUGACCUCCAGACACACCCAUUCCCUCCCCCACACACAUAUGUUAAUUCUACAUUAUAAAUGUAUGUACUUCCUGUAAUGUUUGAGAAGAUGAAGCAAGGAGACCAAGCCGUGAGCAGACGUGCCUAGCGCAUGCUCGUGCUGCGCCGAGCUGACCGUGGCUAGUGACUGAAUAAAACACAUUCUUUCUCUAAGCCGUCUUCUACAAGUCUGUUAUUCCUGAACAACUAACUAGAACCAAAGUGUGGGCAUCCGACGAAUUCGACGGAGGACAGCGAGAUCUUUCAUUAAAGAGGGAGAGAGAUAGAGACAGAGAGAGAAAGAGAAAGGUCCUUGUUGGCCCCUCCACCUCACCCCUAGACCCAUUUGAACUAUCCUGCUCCUCUGAAACUCUUGGAAAUAAUGUGUCAGCACCAGGGGCGGCUCGUCCAUAAGGGCGAUUGGGGCGACGCACUGCCUAGGAAUUUUUUUUUUUUUUUUAAAAACUCCUUAUGUAUAAACUAGUGCUGUCAAGCGAUUAAAAUAUUUAAUCGCGAUUAAUCGCAUUUAUGUCAUAGUUAACUCAAAAUGAAUCGCGAUUAAUCGAAAUUUUUUAUCUAUUCUAAAUAUUUUCCAUCAUUUUAUUAUCAACAUGGAAAAGUGGAUUGGCUUGCUUUAUGCAAAUGUUUUAUUUAAUUGAAAACCAACAUUGCCAAAUAGGGCGGUACAAAGUAAAAUUAUAACGUGCACAUUUCAGGUAAACAACAAGGACUCAGCCUAUAGUGCAGUUAAACCAUGGCUUAAUAUUGUAUUUUUUUUUUCAAGUUUGCUGGGAACAUAGCAGUCAGGCCUCUUCUUUCAGAAACAAUGAACCGUAACAGUUAGGUUACCAAUAAAAGGUAAGCCUACUACUUCUUUGCUUUCAGCCAGCUGCCUGUUGACAUUUUCAGACAACAGUGAAGCUUGCUUCUUUUGCAGAACACAACUUUUAAAAGUAAACUUUCCAUUCAGAAGCUUUUUAUCAUCCAUUUCGCCGUAUGGCGCUCAGCAUUCACUCAAACCGUAACGUUAGCCUACUACACAGUUUGCGAGGCCAAAAAGAACGU
ensembl:lncRNA